UAAUUUCCCACACCUCACGUUUUCUGUUGUGUCACCCUUGCCUGGCGGAGUCGUGUGGUUUGGGUUUUCUAUUCCAGUCCUUCCUCUGUUUAAACCCAGUUCAGGUGUAGCGAGAUAUGUCAUAGCGGGAGCUCUUUCAUAUCAGUCGGAUUGACCCAGUUGAGGGGAAGUGCCUAUCGGCUUAUUUCCAGCGUGGAGCCGUGGAGUGGGUCAAUAUUUGGCAGGACGUACGGACCCAGACUGCGCUGCUGUUUUGUCUGUAUGGUUUCUGCUGUGUUUAUUGCCCUCGUUGUCUUUAUUAGAUUUUCUUUCUUCUUUCUUUGUGUCAGCUGUUUGUUUGAUGGUUUUAGGAAUAUUAAAGGGUUUAUUUA